ensembl:lncRNA
AUCACUGGCCUAUCCAGCGUCUGCUCCCCAGCCAGGCCUGGCACCAGGUGCUCCAGGCACAAUCUCAGUCAGUCUUCCCAGCUGCUCCAGUGGUGGGGAUGGUUAUCAGCCCACUUUACAGAUGGGCAAAUAAGGAGAGACGCACUGCCUCCCCGAGGCCACAGGGCUAGACGGUGGCUGACCCGUCUGACCCGGGGACAGUGGGGUCCCCGCUCGGUAGCCCAUACAGCCUCCCAUUACCACCCCCACACCUGCCCCUGGAGACGCCCCCAAGACUAACAUGAAGAAUGGACUCCCUUCUCUUAGAACAUACAAGAAAGAUUGGUACUUCUCAAGUUGACAUUUUAUUUAAUCCAGGUGCCUCGGAGCAUACCCAGACUUCUCCCCAGGAAGAGAGACUGACAGCACGUCCGAGACCGGGGGCACAUUCAGCCUUUCCAGUCCUGCUUCCCAGCCUAAGCUCUGGUCUUGGAUCCUGCCCUGUUCCCAGACACUGAGAGAGGAAAGAAAGUCCUUCUAACUGGUCCCCGAGACUCGUGUCCCCAGCGGUCGUCCAUCGGGCUAUUCACUGUGUUCUGCUCCCCAGGCCUUCUGGAAGGACAGUGCUCCCUGUCCCCUUUAAUUAGAUGACUUACCCUGAACAAAAAAAAAAAGAGAUAAAUAAUGUGUGCCACAUCAGGGCAGAGGUAUUAAGAGGAAGUGCACAGUUUCCCACAUUUCUUUCCACGUCCCAGUGAUGAAGGAACCCAUGCUGAAAUGGGGCCUCUGUUAGCCCGGAUGCCUGAGUGACUAUGCAGAGUGGAGACCGCUGCCAACCUUCAUUGUGAGGAACACUACAUUCUUGUGUGGGUCUUGUCCAAUCAGUCGAAGGCCUGAAUGGAACGAAGCCCAACCUGCCUCCUGAGUCAGAGAGAAUUCUCCUGCCUGAAGCCCUGCAGACUGCAGCACCAGCUUUCUGGCUCUGCAGCAGCUUCCAGCCCUGGACAGAAGCUGCAAAGUUGGCUCUGCAGAGAACCCUAAUCCACCAUCUCUGACCGCACGCUGCCGGCCUCCAAGUUGGGGAAAGGCUGGAAAGAGGAGGAGGGAAGCCACCGAAGAGGCCGUCGGUGCUGGCCAAGGGGUUCCCACCAGGCCCCGUGGGUCCACCCUCCCCUCCCCCAGUGGCUGCCCUGGGUUUCUGCUGGGUCUCAGAUUCCUCCUAUGGGAACCGGGAAAUAUAAAGAGGUGACGUGGGCCGAGAGCCAGGUGCCUAGAGGGCCCCCAGCAACGACUGCUGCUUCCUCUGAAGCACAGGCUUGGGCUGCUGCUGGUUUUCUGGGCAGCGGCUGUUCUGUGCUUCCCAACAGAGAGGACAGCACCUUCCAGAGGGUCCUGAGCUGGGACUGAGGUGGGCUUGCGAGCUCUGGGCCGCUCCUUGGCCUCAAGCCUGGAGCUUUCACCCCCAUGGAGGGGAACACCCUUUGCGGGGGGCGGGGUGGGAGGUCAGGGCCUCCCUUGAACCUGGCUCCUGGUCACAUCCCGCACCAUCAGAUUGGGCUAUGGAAGGCAGGAGAGGAGCUUUCCUCUUGGAGCCACCAUUUCUCAGCUGUGUUGCUUUGGGUGCAUUACUUAGCCCCUCUGAGCCUCUGUUUUCUCAUCUGUAAAAUGGGGAUAAGCACACGGGCCUUGCAGGGUCACACAUUCUCCAUGUGUGAAGAAUCUGGGCAGUGCCCAGCACCAGGAGGCCUCAGUCCCCACGGAGCCCAGCCCUGAGCCCAUGGGCCCCCAGGAAAGCGGGAGUUAAACACUCAGCUGUCAGCCAGAGAGCAGGGAAGCCCUGCCGCUGGCUCAGUGCCGGGAACGGUAAGUGCGGCGUGAUUAUGUAAAGCGCAUAAGCGAUUUCCAGCGUAAUUAAGAUGGAUGGCUCCAAUAAUCCUGCAGGGCCCCAUUCCGAGCCGCAGUACCAGGCGUUCACAGGGAGUUUUCGUGCGCUUUGCUUCAGUGAGCACUGGGGCCCAUUAAAGAAAUGCGUGGAAGACCAGGUUCUCCAGCCAACUGCCCUGGACCGAAGGCAGCAGGAGCCUCAGCACAAAGCCCCAGGGGAACUCGGCAGAGCCCCCGUGUCCCAGGGGAGCCGUGGUAACCGCACCGUGCAGGACAGAGCCCUUCUCACGCUCCCUCUCAGACGCGGUCUCCAUGACCCAUACGCCCCUCUGCUGGACUGAAUUGUCCUGCUGCCCCCCUCGUAAGAGAGGAGAGCUCACAAAAGAAGAAACUGAGGUCCCCAGGGGUCGUGUGCCCUGUUCAAGAUCACCCAGCUCACCAAAGACAAGAUCAAAGUCAGACAAAGGGACCUAAAGGUGAUGGGGUUCAGUCUUCCCCCGUGGCAGAAGUCUCUUCUGUGGCACCCGGCCAGCCUUCCGUCCUGUCACGGCUUGAGGGUGAGGGUGCUGAGGAGUCCACUGCAAUAAUAUUGACUGCUGGCAGCCAGCGUAAUUAUUAUUAUUGCUAUUAUUAUUAUAUGCAGUGCUUACUAUGUGCUAGGCUCCGUGUCUAGCUCUUCAAAUUAACUAUUUUAAAUAAUCCCCACAAGGACUCUGUGAGACAGGCAUUGUCGGUGUCCCCAGAGGGGAAACGACGUGCCCGAGGCUGGUUAGGGAUGCGCUGAGACGCUGCCUGCAUCUCUCUGACCUGGAGCCCACAGGGGAGGCAGUCAGGAGGUUGUUCCUCAUGAAGAUACGAGUGGUCUGAAAUCUACCUAUCAGAGAACCGUGCUCCCUCACAGCAGGGGGUCCCCCUCUGCCCCUGCAGAGGCUCUCCUGACUCCAACAACUCUGGGGGCCUCCCACCCGCAUGCCCACCCCAGGGCCCAGCCCAAUCUCCCCAAGAAGGCGGGCUCCCAUAUCUUCCACCCUUCCUGAGAAGGCCUUAGUUCCUCACUGGGCCUCACUCUCCCCAUGGCUGCGCCAGCAAGAGGGCUGCCCGGGAUCGGGGCAGGACACUGCCCUGCACCCCAUACAGCACCCAUCCUCUGGGCCCUCCCUCUCCUCUCAGUGGUGGGAGUGCAGGCAGCACUGGCUCCAGGUCAGAGACCUGGGUCAGUGCCUUGCUCUGCCCAUCACUAACCGGGCAACCUUGGACGGGCCAUUCGAAGCUCCCUAAGCCUCGGUUUCUCCAUCUCUAAGAUGGACACAGAAGUGCCUACCACACACGGCUACCAGGAAGACUGAGGGCCAAGAUGUCUGCAAAGCUUGAUCACUGUCCACUGCCAGCCUCCCCAGCCCCAUGCCAGUUCUGCAAGGGGCUGAGGCAGGUGGGAGUGCAUGGGGGAAGGGGCCUGCUCUGAGGGGUUUGGCUCUUUGCCCCUGCAAAGCACCCCUGGGGCUGCAGACUUCAUCAAAAUGCCAGGAUGGGGAGAAACAGCGAGGAGGGGAAGAUUAAGCUGCAGAUGGUCAGUGCCUUGGAGCCUGAGUGGAUUGAUGGGGCCUCCUUGCUGCAGGAGGAGCCUUCCAGGACGGCUGCUCAGGCCUUGAGAGAGGCCUGAAGUCCAAGCCCCAGCUCCUGGGACUCUGCAGAGCCCACAGGGACAGACUGGGAGGGACCAGCUUUCCAUGACACCCCCCAAGCCCUCCCUCAGGACCAUGACCCACAGUGCCAUGGGGAACCUAAAGAGUGUUCCUCUUGGUCCUGGCCUCGGCCUCCUUGGGCCCCGGGCACACCAAGCCUCAGGCCACCUGACCUUACCCCGUGGCACUCGGACCAGAAACUGCCAGACACAGCCAGGCGUCCUUGCUGGGCACUGGGUGCCUCCUAGGGCCUUAAACACCCUCAAAUCUCCCCGGGCGGAGUCACCUGCUUGGUCUAACACUCCUGGGCUGCGUGGGGCUGUGUGCAGAGCAGGGUUCCGGCCGGGGCUCACAUGGCCUCACCUCUGUGAGGCCCCAGUAGAUCCCUUCCGCUCUCUGAGCCCCGCUUUCCACACAUAUAAAAUUAGGGUAGCGGCACCCACUCGCCUGAGCUUGCCCAUGCGGUGGGGCUCUGUCUGCGGAGCACACACCCAGACUUCCUUUCUUUUCCCAUCUCAGCCGCCCUCCGGCCGAGCCACAAGGCCCUGCGGGAGGGACAACACGGGACGAGACAGUGACCAGAGUCACCAACUGUCCCCAAAUAGUCCCUCCUUGGGUUUCCUGAGGACACGACAAUUACCGAGGCUGGAGCUUUGGGUGGGUUUAAAACCCUUUUAAGAUUCUAUAAGUGACUCUUGAUAACAAAAAUUAACAAGCUGGAAAAAUAAAACUGUUCACCCAGAGCGUGGAUCUCGGCAUCAGAGACAUCUAGGUUUUUCUCUGCUGUCAUCACUGUGCCCGUAGGAGUGACUCAGCUGGCGCCCAUCAUGUGGGGAUGCCCGCACCGCCUCACAUGUGGGCUGGGUGGCAAUCACCCCUGCUGGUUGCCAAGCUUCUCCACCUCUCCUCAGGGCGGGUCCUCAGCAGAAGCACUGUUUCUGGCCACUCUGUGAGGUGACAUCUUUGUAAGGUGACCAUAUCUUUGAGGUUGGGAGAGGCGCUGUGACUAGAUCUGCCCAUGACACGUGAGUGGAGGUGGCACCUGCUGCUUCCAGCUGGAGCCUGUCAGGACCCACACGAGACCAGCCCAGGGUCCCCUCUCCCUUUGGCAUGGUGCCUACAAGGUCCAAGAGGGGGUGCUCCAGCUGCCCGGAUCUCUGAGUGGCUCUGAUGAGCAGAGCCCUGGUCAACCCAUAAGGCUGAGUAACACAAAGGACAAGUCUUUGGGUUUCUUAGGCCACAGACAGGAGGGGAUGUGGCCAGGGCCGGAAACCUGCCUACAUGGACUGCUCGAAUUACUGUAAGGAUUAACUGUGACCAUGUGCAGAAAGCACCUGGCUCACAGCUGGUCUUGAAAUGACAACUGUGUCCCCAUGAAGCUUCAAAUUUGGAGGACAAAGUCCCUCCUUCCCCAGCAAGGAAGUCAAAUAUCCCCAGCAGAAAGGAUGCACACUCGUGCAUACUGAGAUGUCCGUGAGGGGGAGCAGAUCUUUCCCCCAAAGCCCUGUGGCUAGGAAGGCAUGAGAACACUGAGGCUGCAGGCUCAGAGCCCGGAGCAGCAGUGGGAAGAGGCACAGGGAGCAGGCAGCACACCCCCAUCCCCACCAUGGAGACCCCCAGCGCAGAGGCACCUUCUUCACCACUUCGCAGGACUUCAUAUCAGAAAACAAACCCACAGAGCUGAGGAAUCCCUGGAUCCAGCUUCCGAGAGGGAGCAUGAAGGGCAGCAGGGAGAGCUGGUCAUGAAGCCGGGAAGCGAGGAGCAGGAGCUGGCAGGCAGCAGCGUGCCACAACCAGCCCAGCCUCCCGCAGGGGAAGGCAGAGCCCUCGCAGCCACCUCUCCAGGGCUUUCCCCUGGAAUCCCCUCCAACUGGCUGCAGAGCCGGGGAUCCAGCCCUAAGGACAAGAACAACCAGCCUUACUGCACAACCGCUGGGGGCUCGACCCUGGGCUCCACGUUCCACAUCUACUACAGUCCACUCUUUGCCUUCCCAGCAAGUCCUGAGGGCACCAUCCGCACCUCCCCCGUGUGGAAGGCUCUUCAUUCUGUCAUCUCUGAGGAGCUCCUAGCACGGCCCUUGGCAAGCUGCUGGCACACCACAUAUGUCAUUUCCCAGACAUGUGGGAAAGGCCACAUGCUGCACGUGACACCCGGGGAGGCUGGGAAAACUCACCCAGCAGCC